CCAGCUUCCUAUAAAAUCUUUUCAAAGCGAACACAGUGUACCAUUUAAGCGCAGGCUGGCAGAGCCCACAGCUGUCCCCCGCACACACGCCCUGCCCCCGAACAGCUGCAGCUUUGCCUCAGAUCUGUGGCUGGACUCGCUUGCAGCUGAGGAUUUUUGCACAGCCACAGGUGAUGCACCCAUGGGGAAACGCCCUCCAGCCUUCAUGUUGAUCCCUAACCGUAACAUGAAUAGUUCACAGAUGAUUCACUCGGACUCUUUCCAACACAUGAUGUUGGCCUCUUCCUAUUACUGACUCAGCCUUGCCUGUUACGCGAAAUUCCUGAGAAUGUCAAUGGGUCUUUGAAAAGCAGCUGUAAAGAUCUGAAGAAUUUGAUCUACUCAGCUAAUUUAAAUGGGCUGUCCAGUUUGGUUUCAUUUCAUUUUCAUACAUUACUUCCUGUACAAUUAUCACCCAACUUAUUCAUAAACAUUAAUCAUAAGUUUUGAGUUGAAAUUACCAACAUUUUAGGAAGAUUUUUUCCUAUGUAUUUCUAUUAAUGCAAUAUUUCACAAAGUCAGUGGUGUAAAGCUAUAAAUACUCAUUAUUGUACAAUAGGAAAGUAUUGCAGUAAUGUGCAUGCACUGGUGUUCUGGAGGAAUAACCUCUGACUUCUCAGGAAGAACAUUUCAUUUUUAUUGCCAACAUCAGCAACAUGACACUAUAGUGUUUUAAUAUUUCCUGAUUUAGCAAUUUAACUGCUUAGAUGUUGACAUUAACAUUUUUAAAAAUCCCAAUUUACCUCAAACGUUUUACUAUUUUGGUUAAUCUUGUUUCAGUAAAAUAUCUCAAGUGUUGAAAUGCACAUACUGCAGGACUUACAUUUAAGGAGGUCAUUUACAAACAUGUCUCUAAAUCUAAAAUGUUCCCUAUGUAAACCAAGGUUGUGUUUAUUUAGUGUCUGUAAAACUAUUUCCAGGCAUUUGACAUGCAAGUGAAAUCUCAUGUAAAAUUAGCAGGCUUCUCCUUUAAGAGAACAAGAUACAUAGCGCAGUGGAUACUUUAGUGUAAGAAUACUUAUUCACUAUUGCCCGAUAUCUCUUAUUUGAUCAUGAUUAGGAAUGAUGAGAGAUUCAAGAACAUUUUAAGAACCCAAUCUAGGAUUUUUUUGUUAAACCAAAGAAUUAGGAAUUGUCUCUCCUCUUUUAUAUUAUCUUUCACUUUUUUUUAGAAAGACAUUCACAAUGAAAAAUACUUUUUGAUUGUUUCAGCUCUCUGUCUUAUUUGUGCUGUUCUUAAGAUUUUAGAAGCAAAUCUUUAAGUUUCUUUGCUGUAAGUUUUGUUUACGCUCACUUAGCUUGAACCAGACUGAAACAUGUUAUCAGCCAAAUUAUUGACAAGUCCUAUCAAAACAAAACAUGCAUACAUAGCAUAGGAUCUCAUUUUUCAUAGAAAAUGUUGACUGGAAGAUCAUUUUGUAUCUUCUCUUUUUCUUCACAUAUUCUCAUAUUGAACCACACAAGUCUUAUUCUUAAUUCUUCUUUUAAGAUGCUCCGCUUAGGUAGAUCUUGGUUUAACCUACUUUGUCUUUAUCAGAACAGCCUUAUUUUUUUUUUUUUUGUGGUGUAGAUUCAAAAUGUCGGAAACAUUCUUCAGAGAUUUUGGUUUACAUUAACAAGACAGCACUAUGAAAGAUUGGCAGAUUUGUCUACACCUGAAUCUUCCAUUCCACAAAAUCCCAAAGGUGCGCUGUUAAUUUUUAAAACCCUUCUAUGAGAACUCGAAAGAUGGUUGUUUGAAAAUCCCAAUUUCUAAAAUACCAUCAACCAUUCCAUGUUCAGAGUCACCUAUGUUCACCACUCUAAAUCUGUUUUUACCACCAUCACUAUGUCUAGAUGCCAAAAGACAUACAGUUGCUGAAAAGGGAUUGACUGCCUAACAAGGCCAGGGUGUACUUAAUAAAGUGGGUGUUGCACAUGCUGUAAGACAUACUGGGUGUUACAUUACUUAAACUCUCUGUCACAGAGCUCCAUUAACAUGCAUGCACUAUCAUUAGUGCUGGUGUGGUUUAUUCACCAAAUGUUUGUAGUGUUUGGGGAAGGUGUGAUUUGAGAUAGUUCAUACAGUUUCAUCCAGAGCUUUUCACUGUUAGAAAGUGAGCUGAUGUUUUGUGUUAGCUGCAUGAUGUCAGAUUCACAGGUUGCAGAAAUAUUUUCAUGCCUUCUGGACCUCAUGCAGGGAGCUCAGGUUGCAUGAUAUUAAGUGCAGUUUUGACUCUGCAGAACUUUGUGAAAUGUACGGUAGUUAUAUAAUCAACUACAUGAUUUACAAAACCCCCCACAACAUUAUUGGUAAAUUUUAAGAAGCUUAAAUAAUUUUUCAGCAUUUUUUACCCACUUGUCGACAGUUGUGGGGUCAACUAGAUUUCUGACCCAAACUGAGAUUAAAUGUGCUCAUCAUGCUGGUUAUAUAACUCAAUACCCUGGAAUCCCAGCCCUAAUAAUUCUUCUCUUUAUUUUGCUGUUUAUUUCCCUUAUUCUGCCCAAGUGAGCACAUUAUAUCUGACAUUUUUGUUUUUGGAAGGAGGCAGUAGGCAUGUGUAUUUGGGAAGCGACCCACUGAGAGUAAUGAAUUUGGACACCGGAGUGUAUGUGUUGCAGAAGUGGGCGUGUGUCGCAGGCGAGCCUGAAGAUCUGGUUGGGUAAGAGCUGGGCUGUAUAAAAAGGCGGAGUGCAGCGCAGAAGCUCUCUCUCUGGUUCAGGUUCUUCUCUGUUUGGCAUCUGUUAGGAGUUUCUUCUGUCAUUUUUUCCCUGUUUGUGGAAGCAGAAGAUCCCACUGUUGGGACUGGAGCGAUUCUUUCUUCCUUUUUGCAGACGGUGAGAAGUCCAUCUGUUUUCAUAAUCAGCUCUUGACUUGAGGAGUACCAAAACAAAACUUGGAAUAACAAUUUUUUUCUAUAAAGGGUGUAACUCCACAGGUCCUGAACCACCCCGGGGGUUCACUGAUCCAUCAUUUCAGGAAACAUGAUCAUCAGACUGGGCAGGCUCACACCUGGAUACUUCCGCCUUCUCCAGAGGCAGGUCGCUGGUGAGGUCCAAACGCAGCCGCAUGACCGCACCGUCAACCAGAUCGCCAUGAUGCUGGCCAUCAUGGGUCUGAGUCUGUCCUACUACAGUGCCAAACAGAUGACAGAGAAGGUCCAAGUCCAGCCUGGAGCUUGAAGAGGCUCGGUCGCUCCAGAAUCUGGAGAUGACAGAUGAACCAAUGAGAACCGGAGGAAGAAACGAAAGUAAA